rnacentral:rRNA from 1 species
AACGAACGCUGGCGGCGCGCUUAACACAUGCAAGUCGAACGAGAAGGCGUAGCAAUACGCUUGUAAAGUGGCGAACGGGUGAGGAAUACAUGGGUAACCUACCCUCGAGUGGGGGAUAACCCGCCGAAAGGCGGGCUAAUACCGCGUACGCUUCCGAUCUUGCGGGAUCGGAAGGAAAGCUGUCCCAAGGGGAUGGCGCUCAAGGAUGGGCUCAUGUCCUAUCAGCUUGUUGGUAGGGUAAGGCCUACCAAGGCAUCGACGGGUAGCUGGUCUGAGAGGACGAUCAGCCACACUGGCACUGCGACACGGGCCAGACUCCUACGGGAGCAGCAGUGAGGAAUAUUGGACAAUGGGCGCAAGCCUGAUCCAGCAAUGCCGCGUGUGUGAAGAAGGUCUUCGGAUUGUAAAGCACUUUUCGACGGGGACGAUGAUGACGGUACCCGUAGAAGAAGCCCCGGCUAACUUCGUGCCAGCAGCCGCGGUAACACCUGAACUG